UGUCACGAUCGGGAGUGAGAGAGAUAUGCAAAUCGGAUAUCCAAAUUCAACGGAUGGAGGUGGAGGUGGAUGUGGAUGUGGAAUCUAUGGAGUUGACGGAGGAGGAGAGGGAGAAGAAGGUGAGAAAGGAGAAGGCUUUGAAGGAGAUCUAUGGUAAUUUUGGUUUUGAUUGUUUUCGACUUCAAUCUAAGAUCUUUUGCUUUUAGCUUCUGUUUGCUUUGAUACUGUGAUUUGGUUUCGUUUAAGGGUUUCUUCCGCUUUGAAUCUGAAACCAAAUCUCUUCCCUUUUUUCGAUUUAGGGUUUGAUUUAGAGUUGAAAGAUGUACAACGGGAUAGGGUUACAGACCGCAAGAGGAUCAGGAACUAAUGGUUAUGUUGAGACGAAUAAGUUCUUUGUGAGACCUAGAAAUGGUGGUAAGCCUGUUAAUGGUGGUAAAUGGUUUGAGGAUGAUCAAGGUGUUCCAGUUAAAAGUUAAUGGUGUGGCAUUUAGGUUGAUUCCUGAGUCUACUCAAGUGAAAAAUGCCUUGAAG